GAUGAACGCUGGCGGCGUGCCUAAUACAUGCAAGUCGAGCGAACAGAUGAGGAGCUUGCUCCUCUGACGUUAGCGGCGGACGGGUGAGUAACACGUGGAUAACCUACCUAUAAGACUGGGAUAACUUCGGGAAACCGGUGCUAAUACCGCAUAAUAUCUUGAACCGCAUGGUUCAAUAGUGAAAGACGGUUUUGCUUUAACUUAUAGAUGUAUCCGCGCCGCGUUAGCUAGUUGGUAAGGUAACGGCUUACCAAGGCAACGAUGAGUAGCCGACCUGAGAGGGGGAUCGGCCACACUGGAACUGAGACACGGUCCAGACUCCUACGGGAGGCAGCAGUAGGGAAUCUUGCGCAAUGGGCGAAAGCUUGACGGAGCAACGCCGCGUGAGGGAGGAAGGUCUUCGGAUCGUAAAACUCUGUUAUUAGGGAAGAACAAAUGUGUAAGUAACUAUGCACGUAGUGACGGUACCUAAUCAGAAAGCCACGGCUAACUACGUG
rnacentral:rRNA from 1 species